rnacentral:lncRNA from 1 species
CCCUGCAAUUGAGCAGGCAUUAUCCAUCAGUAUCGAUGAUAUUCAAAAAUCAAAGAGCAGUACGAGCUAAAACACAAUCAUGAAAACAUACAACAUAGGCUCAGCUAGGUCAGGCUCGUGUCGACGCCUCACUUCAUCAAUUAACCUCCGAUCCUGCAUAUCGCUACUCCAUUGUCUGUCAAAUACUGAGAAGGCAGCACAAGUAAACUCCAGAAUCAGAACUUGCUCCAAAAGGCAGAGUGGCUGAACAUUAUGAAUUCCAACACAGGUUUGAAUGAUGCGGCAAUCCGUGAACGCCCUCCAAUAUUACAGUCGCAGGAAAAGCAUUAGAAUCAGAACUUGCUCCAAAAGGCAGAGUGGCUGAACAUGAUAAAUUCCAACAUGGGUUUGGGUAGCAGAUCAUGAUGCGGCAAUCCUUGAAUGCCCUCCAAUAUUACAGUCGCAGGAAAAGGCAUCAGCUAAGAGAGCUUACAGGAGCAAUAGGUCUUCCAAAAUACAUUUUGGAUGACUAGAUUUGGUCAAAACACUAUACAAGCUGUAAUAAUACCGUAGUUACAAUAGAUAAUCACG